rnacentral:tRNA from 1 species
GCAUUUGUAGUCCAACGGUUAGGAUAAUUGCCUGGGCUAAUAGACCCGGGUUCGACUCCCGGCAGACGCA